rnacentral:rRNA from 1 species
UUGUAAUUUGCAGAGGAUGCUUCGGCUUGUGCGCCGCCCAAAGUUCCUUGGAACAGGAUGUCAUAGAGGGUGAGAGCCCCGUAUCCGGGUGGAUGCUCAUGCCAUGUGAAGCUCCUUCGACGAGUCGAGUUGUUUGGGAAUGCAGCUCAAAAUGGGAGGUAAAUUUCUUCCAAAGCUAAAUACCGGCUGGAGACCGAUAGUGCACAAGUAGAGUGAUCGAAAGAUGAAAAGCACUUUGGAAAGAGAGUUAAACAGCGCGUGAAAUUGUUAAAAGGGAAGCGCUUGCGGCCAGACUCGGCCGUCGUUGCUCGGCGGGGCCUCGUGCCCCGUUUACUCUUCGGCGGUUGGGCCAGCAUCGGCUCGGGCGGCUGGAUAAAGGCUGCGGGAAUGUGGCUCUCUUCGGGGAGUGUUAUAGCCCGCGGUGGAAUGCAGCCUGCCUGGGUCGAGGUGCUGCG